UGGUUCUGGCUUCGAUGAAGAACGCAGCGAAAUGCGAUACCUAGUGUGAAUUGCAGAAAUCAGUGAACCAUCGAAUCUUUCAACGCACAUUGCGCCCUUUGGUAUUCCAACGGGCAUGCCUGUUCGAGCAUCAUUUGUCCCCUCAAGCUUUCCUUGGUGUUGGGCGUCUUGUCUCUCACGACACUCGCCUUAAAAUCAUUAGCAGCCGAGCUACUGGUUUCGCAGCGCAGCACAAUUCUUGCACUUUGAAUCCGCCUUGGUUGAGCAUCCAACAAGACCCGAUUUUUUAACUUAUGACCUCGGAUCAGGUAGG
rnacentral:rRNA from 1 species